rnacentral:rRNA from 1 species
UACAGAGGGUGCAAGCGUUAAUCGGAAUUACUGGGCGUAAAGCGUGCGUAGACGGUUGCAUAAGUCAGAUGUGAAAGCCCCGGGCUCAACCUGGGAAUUGCAUUUGAGACUGUGUAGCUAGGGUGCGGAAGAGGGAAGCGGAAUUUCCGGUGUAGCGGUGAAAUGCGUAGAUAUCGGAAGGAACACCAGUGGCGAAAGCGGCUUCCUGGUCCAGCACCGACGUCAGGCACGAAAGCGUGGGGAGC